AGAGUUUGAUCCUGGCUCAGGACGAACGCUGGCGGCGUGCUUAACACAUGCAAGUCGAACGGAAAGGCCCUUCGGGGUACUCGAGUGGCGAACGGGUGAGUAACACGUGGGUGAUCUGCCCUGCACUUUGGGAUAAGCCUGGGAAACUGGGUCUAAUACCGAAUAGGACCACGUGCUUCAUGGUGUGUGGUGGAAAGCUUUUGCGGUGUGGGAUGGGCCCGCGGCCUAUCAGCUUGUUGGUGGGGUAAUGGCCUACCAAGGCGACGACGGGUAGCCGGCCUGAGAGGGUGACCGGCCACACUGGGACUGAGAUACGGCCCAGACUCCUACGGGAGGCAGCAGUGGGGAAUAUUGCACAAUGGGCGCAAGCCUGAUGCAGCGACGCCGCGUGAGGGAUGACGGCCUUCGGGUUGUAAACCUCUUUCAAUAGGGACGAAGCGCAAGUGACGGUACCUAUAGAAGAAGCACCGGCCAACUACGUGCCAGCAGCCGCGGUAAUACGUAGGGUGCGAGCGUUGUCCGGAAUUACUGGGCGUAAAGAGCUCGUAGGUGGUUUGUCGCGUUGUUCGUGAAAACUCACAGCUUAACUGUGGGCGUGCGGGCGAUACGGGCAGACUAGAGUACUGCAGGGGAGACUGGAAUUCCUGGUGUAGCGGUGGAAUGCGCAGAUAUCAGGAGGAACACCGGUGGCGAAGGCGGGUCUCUGGGCAGUAACUGACGCUGAGGAGCGAAAGCGUGGGGAGCGAACAGGAUUAGAUACCCUGGUAGUCCAA
rnacentral:rRNA from 1 species